AGAGUUUGAUCCUGGCUCAGGACGAACGCUGGCGGCGUGCCUAACACAUGCAAGUCGAGCGGGAACCUCAGGAGGGGUAACCCUUCCGAGGGGAGAGCGGCGAACGGGUGAGUAACACGUGGGCAACCUGCCCCGGACACCGGGAUAACCCAGGGAAACCUGAGCUAAUACCGGAUACUCCGGCGCGAUCGCAUGGUCGCGCCGGGAAAGCUCCGACGGUCCGGGAUGGGCCCGCGGCCUAUCAGCUUGUUGGUGGGGUAACGGCCCACCAAGGCGACGACGGGUAGCUGGUCUGAGAGGACGGCCAGCCACACUGGGACUGAGACACGGCCCAGACUCCUACGGGAGGCAGCAGUGGGGGAUCUUGCGCUAAUGCGCGAAAGCGUGACGCAGCGACGCCGCGUGGGGGAUGAAGGCCUUCGGGUUGUAAACCCCUUUCGGCAGGGACGAAGGGAAACUGACGGUACCUGCAGAAGAAGUCCCGGCUAACUACGUGC
rnacentral:rRNA from 1 species